AGGUCCUACCCACGAGCAGGAGAACCCGCUGAACUUAAGCAUAUCAUUAAGCGGAGGAAAAGAAACUAACCAGGAUUCCCUUAGUAACGGCGAGCGAACCGGGAGUAGCCCAACCACGAAGCGCAUUGAACCUGAGCCAAGGGAGGCCAGGUUCUAGUGCAUUGUAGGGUAAAAGGAAAACGGAGUGGUGAAUCCGAUGGGUGUAUUCCUAGCUAAAGGGAAACCCUAUACCCGCACGUGUCUGAAGAGGAACUGGAAUGUCCCACCAGAGAGAGUGAGAGUCUCGUAAGUCACGCGCGGGUUGGGUCCAAUACCCUUUACCAGGGCCCGGAUGAUCCACCAAUUCCUGAGAGUCGGGUUGCUUGAGAGUGCAGCCUGAAGCGGGUGGUAGACCCCAUCCAAGGCUAAAUACAACCGGGAGACCGAUAGCGAACAAGUACCGCGAGGGAAAGAUGAAAGAGCACCCCGGAAGGGGAGUGAAAUGAGAACCUGAAAUCAUUAGGGUGGAAGCAUCUGGGGGUGCGAUGUGGGGAUGGUUAUAAGCCAGUUCCUUUGAUCGAUCCCAGCCGCGCAUCGCACGAGACAGGUCCGACACGGAUCUGAAACGAAUCUCGUGACACGAUGAGGGGCUGUGUAGAUAGAGACAGAGUCAGGCAUGUCCUGCAUGACCUGAUCACGAGGAUCGAUCCAACAUCCUCCGAUGACCCGUCUUGAAACACGGACCAAGGAGUCUGGCAGGUCUGCGAGUCAGUGUGCGGCGAGCCACACGGGCGUAAGAAACCUGACCAGGGGUUGGACACAUGGACCAUGCCGAACUGAGGCACGGUCCAUGUGUCCAACCUUGACCGGUCGCCCUAUACGCGGAGCCUUAUUACCGCUGAUGCAUCCCGGUAUAGCCAUACCGGGCUCGCUGCGGAAGUGCGCAGUCAUGCGUUUGAGAGCUUCGCGUCUGAGCGAUCCGGUGGAGCAGGCCUCCCAGGACCCGAAAGGUGGUGAUCUAGGCCUGGGCAGGGCGAAGCCUGGCUAACGCUUGGUGGAGGCCCGAAGGAGUGCUGACGUGCAAAUCGCUUCUCUGACCUGGGCCUAGUGGCGAAAGACCAAUCGAACCACCUAGUAGCUGGUUCCCUCCGAAGUUUCUCACAGGAUAGCUGAGACUCGAUCGGGUGUGUCAAGUAAAGCGACUGAUUACGAGUGACGGGCGUGGAUAGAUGUUCGACUCGUUCUCAAACUCUGAAUUGGCACGGCGCCUCCUUGCUUGGAUGAAGGGGUAAGCGCGACCGAGAGUCUCAAGUGGGCCAGUUUUGGUAAGCAGAGCUGGCGAUGCGGGAUGAACCGAGUGUCGAGUUAAAGUGUCCAACUACACGCUCACCUAGAUCCCAGGAAGGGUGUCAGCUGAUACUGACAGCGGGGCGGUGGUCAUAGAAGUCGAAAUCCGCUAAGGAGUGUGUUACAACUCACCUGCCGAACCAGUAGGCCCCGAAAAUGGAUGACGCUCAAGCGUGUGACUUAGACUCGACCGUGAGCGCGAACGUUGCUCUCACGGGUAGGAGGGCGUGGGUGUUGCUUCGAAGCCAUGGCGUAAGCCUCGGUGGAGCGGCGCCUAGUGCAGAUCUUGGUGGGAGUAGCGAAUAUUCAAAUGAGAACUUUGAAGACUGAAGUGGAGAAGGGUUCCGCGGGAACAGCGUUUGGCCGCGGGUGAGUCGAUCCUAAGGAUUAGGGUAGCGCCGUAGCAUCCUCAUCGAAAGGGAAAAGGGUUAAUAUUCCCUUACCUUGGAGGGAUCCGAAGGCGGCAACGCAAGCGAGCUCGCAGACGCUCGCCUUGAUCCCGGGAGGAGGUCUCUACUCCUCUUGAUGCUUGUGGGGGCUUGGAGCAGGGUCAACUGGAGAAGGGGCUCCACAAGCGGCACAGCCCUGUUCGAAACACGGGGUCCGGUGCAUCAGGGCGGGCCCAUGAAAAUGCGAGGGAGCGACAAGGAUGCACCUCCCAAGGUCGUACCCAUAACCGCAUCAGGUCUCCAAGGUGAGCAGCCUCUAGUCGAUAGAGAAAGGUAGGUAAGGGAAUUCGGCAAAUUAGAUCUGUAACUUCGGGAUAAGGAUUGGCUUCGAUCGUUACCCCCCUGGGUAUCGCUGCGGAAGUGCGCAGUGAAGUUUCGCGUGGCGGAGACCCGACGGCCUACACAAAAUACGAGAUCUAUACACAUCCCACAGCGGGUGCAACUCCCCGAUCCAAGGAUGUGUGUCUGUAUACUAAUGGACGGUCUUUGUGUGGCGGGUGUCGUGUCAGGGGUCACCGAGGAACGAUACUGAUACCUGGGGGAGGUUGACUCAAUUGAAACUGGCGCGGACCAAGGGAAUCCGACUGUCUACUAAAAACACAGCAUUGCGAUGGUCCCCGCGGAUGUUGACGCAAUGUGAAUCCUGCCCAGUGCUCAGACUGUCAAGACGGAGAGAUUCGACGAAGCACGGGUAAACGGCGGGAGUAACUAUGACUCUCUUAAGGUAGCUAAAUGCCUCGUCAUCUAAUUAGUGACGUGCAUGAAUGGAGCAACGAGAUUCCUACUGUCCCUACCUACCCUCUAGCGAAACCACAGCCAAGGGAACGGGCUUGGGAGAAACAGCGGGGAAAGAAGACCCUGUUGAGCUUGACUCUAUCCUGGGGUUGUUGGGCGACUUAGGAGGUGUAGCAUAGGUGGGAGCUUCCGAGCGUCACUGAAAUACCACCACUCCCAAGAUCGUCCUGCUGAUCUUGUUAUGGUAAGCGUGCAUGGACCCACUCCCGUGGCGUGGUUUGUGCGCGGCAGGCAUACUCGAGUAAGUGUAGGAUCCGCGCGAUUCCUCGCUUGCUUGGCUUCUUACGCACGAGAGACACCCCCAGGUGGGGAGUUCGGCUGGGGCGGUACACCCGUCAAAAGACAACGCGGGUGUCCUAUGGUCAGCUCAACGAGGACAGAACUCUCGUGUGGUGUAGUUAAGGGUAGAAGCUGACUUGAUUCGGGCUCUCAGUAGGAGCUUGAGCUGCGAAAGCAUGGCCUACCGAUCCUUUAGCCUUCUGGGUGUGAAGCUAGAGGUGUCAGAAAAGUUACCACAGGGAUAAUUGGUUUGUGGCAGCCAAGCGUUCAUAGCGACGUUGCUUUUUGAUUCUUCGAUGUCGGCUCUUCCUAUCAUUGUGAAGCAGGAUUCACAAAGCGUUGGAUUGUUCACCCACAGACAGGGAACGUGAGCUGGGUUUAGACCGUCGUGAGACAGGUUAGUUUUACCCUACUGUUGUGAGGGGCCGGUGUGAUGGUAAUGGAGCUUAGUACGAGAGGAACGGUUCGAUCGGAUACUUGGUAACGCGCUCGAUGGAGCCGUCGAUGGCGCGAGGCUACAUCCGUGGGGUAAUGGCUGACAGCCUCUCAAGCCAGAACCCUUGCCAGAGACACGGCCAGGCGAGAGGAACGCGGCCGGCCAAGACAAGCCUCUGCGCGAAGCGGAGGAAGAAGGCCUUAUGUACCCCUUAGAGGGCACAGAACUGACGCGCCCGAGCCUCAGAUCAUUCUGGGGCAAGACCUCCGCCAAGGACCCACUGUAGACGACCGUGCUAAAGAGGAACGGGGUGCUGGAAGCGAGAGAGUGCAAACGCGUGAUCCGUGCAGGCCUACCCCCGGUUCACUAGGUCCUCCGGAAUAA
rnacentral:rRNA from 1 species